rnacentral:sRNA from 1 species
UAAGGAUUAGCGAUGAUACAAUACUUA